rnacentral:rRNA from 1 species
UGCCUACGGGGGGCAGCAGUGGGGGAUAUUGCACAAUGGGGGGAACCCUGAUGCAGCGACGCCGCGUGGGUGAAGGAGCGUUUCGGCGCGUAAAGCCCUAUCGGCAGGGAAGAAGAUGACGGUACCUGACCAAGAAGCCCCGGCUAACUACGUGCCAGCAGCCGCGGUAAUACGUAGGGGGCAAGCGUUAUCCGGAACUACUGGGUGUAAAGGGAGCGUAGACGGCUGGGCAAGUCUGGAGUGAAAGGCGGGGGCCCAACCCCCGGACUGCUCUGGAAACUGUAUGGCUGGAGUGCAGG